rnacentral:rRNA from 1 species
AGCAGCCGCGGUAAUUCCAGCUCCAAUAGCGUAUAUUAAAGUUGUUGCAGUUAAAAAGCUCGUAGUUGAAUUUCGGGAUCAAUACGUCGGUCGUGCUUCGGUACGUACUAACGUCAUUGAUUUCUCCCUUCUGACGAAUCGUGAUGUCAUUAAUUUGGUGUUACGGGGAGUUAGGACUGUUACUUUGAAAAAAUUAGAGUAGUUUAAAGCAAGCAAUCGCUCGAAUACAUUAGCAUGGAAUAAUGAAAUAGGACGUUCGAACCUAUUUUGUUGGUUUCUAGGAUCGACGUAAUGAUUAAUAGGGAUAGUUGGGGGCAUUAGUAUUCAAUUGUCAGAGGUGAAAUUCUUGGAUUUAUUGAAGACUAACUACUGCGAAAGCAUUUGCCAAGGAUGUUUUCAUUAAUCAAGAACGAAAGUUAGGGGAUCGAAGACGAUCAGAUACCGUCGUAG